AUAAAAUGAUAUCAUAUGCUGGGAAUCAAUCACAUGGUUGUAGACGAAAUUGUUCAUUUUAGUUUAAUUUAUUGCAUUCAUGAUGUAAGCGCAACUAUUAUAAUCCACCGAUUAUCACACUACUACAUAUUUAUUUUGUCAAACCAAACUGCGAUACAAUAUUUUAACAACUACUAUAUUUUAUGGUCCUCGCGUAUGACAUGAGAAAUUAUUAUAAUUAAGGGAUAUUAUCUCGAGUAGCAAAAUCUUAUAAUCUACCGACUAUAAAAUAGCAGGCCGGCAGGCAUGUAUAGAUAUAGGGGUAUUACUUUACAGCCAAUCUUAUAAUCGGUUGCAUUCAUGUAAGCGCAACAGGCCAACACGUCCUCCACUACUACAUAUUUCUUUUGUCAAACCAAACAGCCAUACAAUAUUUUAACAACUUACUAUAUUUUAAGGUUCUCGCAUAUAACAUGGAAAAUUAUUAUAAUAUAUAUUAGUUUGAGUAGCAAAAUCUUAUAAUCUACCAACUAUUAGAAAAGGGAGGCAGACAGGCAUAUAUAGACAUAAACAUUUAAUUAGGCCAAACACAAAAAGGAUAUAAAGACUAUCUACUGAGGAUCGAGAGCUAAUUAUUAUAUAUAUGGCGAUAUCUCAUGGCCAGCCCUCGCUUCUUCUGCUCCUUGUAUCACUCUUUUUCUUACCGGCUGCUUUGGGCUUAUCUACUGGAUUCGUAACCUGCAAUAGGACUUUUGACUAUCCCGUUGUUGUCAACACUGUGGAGAUCUCCCCAGACACGAUUACGAGUAGCACUAAUGCAAACAUUACGAUAACCGGGGUUACAAGCAUAGACAUCCUUGAUGAAACAACCGUAGAAUUUAACCUUUGAUGAUUAUCAUGUGAAAACAGAUUUUUUUUCAAGCAUUCGUUUUCAUGCGACUUUAAGGAUUGGAUUGUAUGGAUGGAUCUUUAGACGAAACUAGCGUGUGCUCUGUGUGAACAUGUUGAAGAAGUUGGGGAUGAAGGCCGUCUGCUAAGGGCGUGUCUUAUCCUAAUUUCUCUAAGAGCUUGUUUUUAUUACGCGCAAGAGAUCUCAAAUUAUUUAAACUCUCUAACUAGAUCUUGGGAUCGAUGCAUUUGUGCAUGAUAAACUUGCUAACGAAGAUGCAAAGUCACCCUUGACGCUACAUCCCACGAUGAUGAAUGUAGCCUACAGUGAUCAAAUAAGAUGGUGUCGUGGUUGUUCCUUUCAAAAUCUCAAAACGAUCAUGGUUUGACUCGAGCGGCUACUUCCAUUCAUAUGGUUCAUGAAAGAAAUCCAAACAAGUGGAUUUGAGCUCUAAUGAAUUUAUUGAAAUGUAAAAGAGAUGUUAAUAGAUAGUUCCUAAAACUUUUUUAUGCAAAAGAAACAAAAAAAUGAAAAACCUUAAGAUUUGUCACCAAGAACAAAGUAUAUUUCAGAAUACAUCUUACAUAUUAAAAUAAAAGUCAUGACUUCUUUCAUGUGUGAUUUUUUAAUUUGGAUCAUUAGUUAGAAAUCAUAUUAAAUGCAUUUUAUUAAGACUAAUAAUACAUAGAAUCUUUAAACUAUUUUAAUCAUAAUAUCUUUUGAUAUCUUUUCAUUUUAAAUAUAAAAAUAUUUAUUUUAAAAUUCUGACAAAUUUGUUUUAAAAG